rnacentral:rRNA from 1 species
UUAAAAUUGUUGCAGUUAAAACGCUCGUAGUUGAAUUUCAAAGGAUCGAUAUUUUAAGUAACGCUUUUAGCUUAAAUCCACAUAACAGACACUUCGUGUCGACUUUGUGCGCAUUUUCGCUAUUAUGUGUUCUUUUAAUUAAAAUGAUUCUUUUUAAAUCUCUAAUAUUUGCUUCGGCAUUUUUGGGGAUUUGUUACUUUGAGUAAAUUAGAGUGUUCAAAGCAAACAGAUAUAGCAUUUGUGCGUUUGAAUACUACAGCAUGGAAUAACAAAAUUGAACAAGUCAAAAUUUUUGUUCUUUUUUCUUAUUUUGGCUUAGUUACGAUUAAUAGGAGUAGCUUGGGGGCAUUUGUAUUCAGAUGUCAGAGGUGAAAUUCUUAGAUUUUCUGGAGACAAACAACUGCGAAAGCAUUUGCCUAAAAUACUUCCAUUAAUCAAGAACGAAAGUUAAGGGAGUGAAGACGAUCAGAUACCGUCGUAAUCUUAACCAUAAACUAUGCCGACUAGGCUUUGGAUGAAAGAUUUUAAAAUAAGAGUUUUCCUUUCCCUUCGGGGUUAGGACUCUUAGAUUGCUUCCUUCAGUGCCUUAUGAGAAAUCAAAGUCUUUGGGUUCUGGGGCGAGUAUUCGCGCAAGCGAGAAAGUUAAAAGAAUUGACGGAAGGGCACCACCAGGCGUGGAGCUUGCGGCUUAAUUUGACUCAACACGGGAAAACUCACUAGUUUAAGACAAGAGUAGGAUUGACAGAUUAAUAGCUCUUUCUUGAUUUCUUGGAUGGUGAUGCAUGGCCGUUUUUAGUUCGUGAAUAUGAUUUGUCUGGUUAAUUCCGAUAACGAACGAGAUCUUAACCUGCUAAUUAGCGGCAAAUACGAUAUAUUCUUCUGUGGAAUUGAAUAUGGUGGAUUUGCUAAAUUUUGAAGAAAAUAUUGGAAUUACUAACCGUUUUUCCUUUCCCUUUUCUACUUAAUUUACUUAUCCUACUAUUUCUUUUUCGCAUUUGAAUGUAUUUGCUUGAUUGUAAAGCUUCUUAGAGGAACGAUGUGUGUCUAACACAAGGAAGUUUAAGGCAACAACAGG